rnacentral:rRNA from 1 species
UAGGGAAUCUUCGGCAAUGGGGGCAACCCUGACCGAGCAACGCCGCGUGAGUGAAGAAGGUUUUCGGAUCGUAAAGCUCUGUUGUAAGAGAAGAACGAGUGUGAGAGUGGAAAGUUCACACUGUGACGGUAACUUACCAGAAAGGGACGGCUAACUACGUGCCAGCAGCCGCGGUAAUACGUAGGUGGCAAGCGUUGUCCGGAAUUAUUGGGCGUAAAGCACGCGCAGGCGGAUCUGCCAGUCUGUCUUAAAAGUUCGGGGCUCAACCCCGUGAUGGGAUGGAAACUACAGAUCUAGAGUAUCGGAGGGGAAAGUGGAAUUCCUAGUGUAGCGGUGAAAUGCGUAGAUAUUAGGAGGAACACCAGUGGCGAAGGCGACUUUCUGGACGAUCACUGACGCUGAGGCGCGAAAGCCAGGGGAGCGAACGGGAUUAGAUACCCCGGUAGUCCUGGCCGUAAACGAUGGGUACUAGGUGUAGGAGGUAUCGACCCCUUCUGUGCCGUAGUUAACGCAGUAAGUACCCCGCCUGGGGAGUACGGCCGCAAGGUUG